AGGGUUUGAUCAUGGCUCAGGAUGAACGCUGGCGGCGUGCUUAACACAUGCAAGUCGAACGAACCUUCGGGUUAGUGGCGGACGGGUGAGUAACGCGUGAGAAUCUGCCCUCAGGAGGGGGAUAACGGUUGGAAACGACCGCUAAUACCCCAUAUGCCUAUUGGUGAAAUGAAUUUCGCCUGAGGAUGAGCUCGCGUCUGAUUAGCUAGUUGGUGAGGUAAUGGCUCACCAAGGCUUCGAUCAGUAGCUGGUCUGAGAGGAUGAUCAGCCACACUGGGACUGAGACACGGCCCAGACUCCUACGGGAGGCAGCAGUGGGGAAUUUUCCGCAAUGGGCGAAAGCCUGACGGAGCAACGCCGCGUGAGGGACGAAGGCCUCUGGGCUGUAAACCUCUUUUCUCAAGGAAGAAGAUAUGACGGUACUUGAGGAAUAAGCCACGGCUAAUUCCGUGCCAGCAGCCGCGGUAAUACGGGAGUGGCAAGCGUUAUCCGGAAUUAUUGGGCGUAAAGCGUCCGCAGGCGGCUUUUCAAGUCUGCUGUUAAAGCGUGGAGCUUAACUCCAUCAUGGCAGUGGAAACUGAAAGGCUUGAGUAUGGUAGGGGCAGAGGGAAUUCCCGGUGUAGCGGUGAAAUGCGUAGAUAUCGGGAAGAACACCAGUGGCGAAGGCGCUCUGCUGGGCCAUUACUGACGCUCAUGGACGAAAGCCAGGGGAGCGAAAGGGAUUAGAUACCCCUGUAGUCCUGGCCGUAAACGAUGAACACUAGGUGUCGGGGGAAUCGACCCCCUCGGUGUCGUAGCUAACGCGUUAAGUGUUCCGCCUGGGGAGUACGCACGCAAGUGUGAAACUCAAAGGAAUUGACGGGGGCCCGCACAAGCGGUGGAGUAUGUGGUUUAAUUCGAUGCAACGCGAAGAACCUUACCAGGGUUUGACAUCCUGCGAACCUCUUAGAAAUUUGAGGGUGCCUUCGGGAAUGCAGUGACAGGUGGUGCAUGGCUGUCGUCAGCUCGUGUCGUGAGAUGUUGGGUUAAGUCCCGCAACGAGCGCAACCCACGUUUUUAGUUGCCAGCAUUUAGUUGGGCACUCUAGAAAGACCGCCGGUGAUAAACCGGAGGAAGGUGUGGAUGACGUCAAGUCAUCAUGCCCCUUACACCCUGGGCUACACACGUACUACAAUGCUACGGACAAAGGGCAGCAAACUCGCGAGAGCUAGCAAAUCCCAUAAACCGUGGCUCAGUUCAGAUCGUAGGCUGCAACUCGCCUACGUGAAGUAGGAAUCGCUAGUAAUCGCAGGUCAGCAUACUGCGGUGAAUACGUUCCCGGGCCUUGUACACACCGCCCGUCACACCAUGGAAGUUGGCCAUGCCCGAAGUCGUUACUCCAACCCUUGUGGAGGAGGACGCCGAAGGUGGGGCUAAUGACUGGGGUGAAGUCAUAACAAGGUAGCCGUA
rnacentral:rRNA from 1 species